rnacentral:tRNA from 1 species
ACAUUGGUGGUUCAGUGGUAGAAAUCUCACUUUCAAUGCCAGAGACCAGGUUCGAUUCCUGGCCAAUGCA